rnacentral:rRNA from 1 species
UACGUAGGUGGCAAGCGUUGUCCGGAAUUACUGGGCGUAAAGUGUGCGCAGGCGGCCGCGCAAGUCGAGUGUGAAAGCCCCGAGCUUAACUUGGGAACUGCGCUCGAAACUACGUGGCUGGAGUGUGGCAGAGGAAGGUGGAAUUCCAGGUGCAGCGGUGAAAUGCGUAGAGAUCUGGAGGAACACCGAUGGCGAAGGCAGCCUUCUGGGCCAACACUGACGCUCAUGCACGAAAGCGUGGGGAGCAAACAGG